rnacentral:rRNA from 1 species
CCUACGGGUGGCAGCAGUGGGGAAUAUUGCACAAUGGGGGGAAGCCUGAUGCAGCGACGCCGCGUGAGCGAGGCAGUAUUUCGGUAUGUAAAGCUCUAUCAGCAGGGACGAAAAAAGACGGUACCUGACUAAGAAGCCCCGGCUCACUACGUGCCAGAAGCCGCGGGAAUACGUAGGGGGCAAGCGUUAUCCGGAUGUACUGGGUGUUUAGGGAGUGUAGACGGCAAGGCAAGCCAGAAGUGAAAGGGCAGGGGUCAACCCUGUACAUGUUUUUGGAACUGGGGUGCUAGAGUGCAGGAGAGGUAAGGGGAAUUCCUAGUGUAGCGGUGAAAUGCGUAGAUAUUAGGAGGAACACCAGUGGCGAAGGCGGCUUACUGGACUGUAACUGACGUUGAGGCUCGAAAGCGUGGGGAGCAAACAGGAUUAGAUACCCGGGUAGUC